rnacentral:rRNA from 1 species
AGGAUAAACGCUGGCGGCGUGCAUUAGACAUGCAAGUCGAACGGACUUCUCGGGGCUUGCUCUGAGAAGUUAGUGGCGGACGGCUGAGUAACGCGUAGGUGACCUACCCCGAAGUGGGGAAUAACUGCCCGAAAGGGUGGCUAAUACCGCAUGCGAUCGUGUGUUCAUUCGUACGAUCAAAGCAGCAAUGCGCUUCGGGAGGGGCCUGCGUCCGAUUAGCUCGUUGGUGGGGUAAUGGCUCACCAAGGCGACGAUCGGUAGGUGGUCUGAGAGGACGAUCACCCAGACUGGGACUGAGACACGGCCCAGACUCCUACGGGAGGCAGCAGUCGGGAAUUUUGCUCAAUGGGCGCAAGCCUGAAGCAGCAACGCCGCGUGAGGGAUGAAGGCCUUCGGGUUGUAAACCUCUUUUAUCAGGGACGAUAAUGACGGUACCUGAUGAAUAAGCCACGGCUAACUACGUGCCAGCAGCCGC